rnacentral:misc_RNA from 1 species
GAAAUGCGAUAAGUAGUGUGAAUUGCAGAAUUCAGUGAAUCAUCGAAUCUUUGAACGCACAUUGCGCCCUUUGGUAUUCCAAAGGGCAUGCCUGUUCGAGCGUCAUUUGUACCCUCAAGCUUUGCUUGGUGUUGGGCGUCUUGUCUCUAGCUUUGCUGGAGACUCGCCUUAAAGUAAUUGGCAGCCGGCCUACUGGUUUCGGAGCGAAGCACAAGUCGCACUCUCUAUCAGCAAAGGUCUAGCAUCCAUUAAGCCUUUUUUUCAACUUUUGACCUCGGAUCAGGUAGGGAUACCCGCUGAACUUAAGC